GCCCUCGUAGCUCAGGGGAUAGAGCACCGCUCUCCUAAAGCGGGUGCCGCAGGUUCGAAUCCUGCCGGGGGCA
rfam:Pseudonocardia sp. AL041005-10, complete genome.